AUCUCAAUCCACAAUACUCGCCUGCUGCAACUUGCGUCUUCUUCGACGUAGCAAGAACUUUCUCCAAAUCCAACUGUGACAAUGGCCUAGAGGACAUGGUCUCCAUUUUCUCUCUUCCUCUAGGAUUUCUCUGAUAGGGAAGUAAGCUGCUUUCUUGCAGAGCUCAAAUAUGUCUGAUCCGGUGUAGCCUCCGCAUAGACGAGCUAAGUGAUCGUAGUCAAUAUCGGGCUCCACCCUCUCUCCCUUCAGCGUCACUUUCAAUAUCUCAGCUCUCUCCUUACGUUCAGGCAUUCCAAUCUCAAAGGCUUGAGGAAGACGCCUCAUUAUUGGUUCAUCAAACUCUGAUGAUCUGUUUGUUGCAGCAAGUACCAUCACCCUCGCAUUCGCUACGAAGCAACCAUUAUACUCAUUUAAAAACUACUGUAUCCAAGUAGAGCAUGCUCUAGACUGCACUAGAGUGAUCUGAAAGGUGAAUGAUUCAACUUACGAUCAGUAGAAAACCCAUCCCAUAAAGCCAUAAACUUAGUCUUCAUGUUUGCCAUGGCUUCGUGAUCUGUGACUUUUGUACCUGUGACUUUUGUUUCAUGCAUCUUUUUCUUCACUUAUAAAUCAUUGAGUUGUAUUUAUCAACAAUCUCAUGAAACCCAUAUUUAUAAGGGGUUAUAAUUCUUUAAUAUUCAGUUUUCACUAUCGUAACUUAUCUCUUCCUUAAUUAAUAUGCAGUUUUCACUAUCGGAAAAUCUAUUUCUUAGCUGAAACCAUUCAGAUCAAUCUUAAUAUGACUUCAAAACCAGAUUUAAGUUUUCAAAUACUCAAUGUUUUCACUCUCAACGUUUCACUAUGAAAUCAGUUUCUCUUAGAUCGACCUCUUUAAAUGAGAUAUCUAAGAGAACCUUGUUUGAUUUUUCGAUAAGAGAAAGCACAAAAUCGAAUCAAACAAAAAAAUACAGAAAUUAGAGAACAAACAAAUACA